CGUACGGUUCGAGCAGUCAAAAUUUUCGCAAGAAAAUUAGACUGAAACAGACCCUAUGCAGCUUUACUGUAGUUAGUUAUCACAUUCUCAUAAACUUUGUGUAGCGUAUAAGGUUAAUGUUUGUUUUAAAAACAAAAAGUCGAUAGACACAGUUGAAACACCUUUCUUGGUUUUAUGUUAAUGUUCACCUAAUCUUUUAUGGUUAGGGAUAAAUGACUAAUUGGCAGUUUGUCUGGGGCGGACGUCUUUAAUAGAGUAUCAGAGACAUCCACAAGGUAUGUCUUAAAUUGGAUGGAGACCAAGCAAGCCAUGAACGGUAUAAUAAGGUAUAAUGACUUAAGCAUGCUUAACUGAGAGACCUAUAAGUCAAACAGAUACGUAAGUAGGGCAUAAUGAUCCGGCGGUAUAUAAUGGAAUAGCCGUCGCACAAUAGAUAAAAGUUACGCUAGGGAUAACAGGCUGAUAGUCCGCGAGAGUACAUAUUGUCCGGACUGUUUGGCACCUCGAUGUCGACUCAUCCUAUCCUCCGGGUGUACAAGCUUGGAAGGGUUCGGCUGUUCGCCGAUUAAAAGGGUACGCGAGUUGGGUUCUUUUUACUCUGACGAAGGAAAAAAGAUUUAUCAAUGGUUAAAAAUAAAAAUAGGGUUUACACUAUAAAAGAAAUAGGAAUUUAAGUUUUUACGGCAAACAAUUUAGUUUAACUACCAUAGGGGUUGGCUAAUUUAAGGUAGAAACUUGGACCUAAUCUUAGUUACGAGGCAAACUUUUUCUAAAAGUUUAUUAAAGGGUUACACUGGUGUGACUGACCACCAACUAGUGGUGGAAAAAGCCACCAGCACAUCCUUUAGCAGUUUUGAAAUUUAUUCCAGGCUAUUUAAAGCCCCGGACUUAACAACCCAUCAUUUAGGCUGUUUUAACAAGAACAAAAAAUAUGCCUAAAGCACAGUUGCCCCUAGAGGUGGUGGGUUAAUCAAAACAAAAUAACUCGUGUUUUCACUUUACAAUUAAUAAAAUGACAAACCUAAAAAAUAUUAAAACAUUAACACCUAAUUCACUUAUUUCAGCAUUGGUGGGGAUUCUACUAGGUGAUGGUGGAAUCUAUCGAACUUCUUCAACAAGUAAUUGCCGAUUUGAAAUGAGUUUUGGUCAACAUUCGCAAGAAUUUGCUGAAAAAAUUGGGGAAUUAUUUAAAGAUUACAUGAGUAAUCCUGUUAAAUCAGUAACAUUGAAAGUUAGAGAUAAAACUUAUACAAAUUAUAGAUUAAAAACAGCUACUUUAUCUUUAUUUAAUCAGUACCAUGAAAUGUUUUAUAAUUGGGACCCUGAAAAAGGUAAAUAUAUAAAAAUAGUUCCUAAAAAUAUUUCAGAGUUCAUGGACCCUAUUGUUUUAGCAUAUUUGCUAAUGUCGGACGGAAAUUUUGACAAAAGCAGGAAUAGAGUACGAAUCUUUACCAAUAGUUUCACUAAAGAAGAAGUUCAAAUACUGGCUGAUUCUAUAAAUGCUAAAUUAGGUAUUUACGUGGGUGUAUUACACGAUCGAAAAGAUCAAUGGAUCUUAACAAUUGGAGCUAAACAGUUAGAUUUACUUAGACAAACUGUGUCACAACAUUUUGACCCUAGUAUGCUUUACCGAAUAGGUCCUUAAUUAAAGUCCGGGGGAUCUUGAUAUGUCAUAUUUUUAUAAUUAACCAUUGAUAUGUCUCAGAGCCCCUUUUUGUUUAUUGUAGUUUAACUUUUUAGGUUGAAUGACAAUAUCAGAAUGAAAACUGGAGAAAUUGCAAGAAAGACUUUAAUAAUACAAAGUUAAUUUGCAGCCGAGUGCGAUAAGUGAAAUUUUUUCUGUGUGAUUCCGAGGUACUCUGGAACACACGAGGUUCCAGAGUACCUCGAAAUCAUGGGCAAAAAACAUAUCGUAAAGGUUCAACGACUAAUGGGUGAGUAUUCACAACAAUAAUCCCGACACGAAUUUCCAGCGCUGGUAAAUUGUAUUUACUGGUGAUGACAUAGUCUGAACAGUAGUGUGAACUACUGAAGUAGUGGUUAAAUUUCCAUUACGUUAACAAAAUUGUUAAUACGACGUGAGUCAGUAUGGUCCCUAUCUUCCGGAGGAACAAAUAGUAAACAGGGGUUGGCCUCUUCGUACGAAAGGAUCAGAUGGCUGUGUUUCUAUAGUGUACCAAUUGUUGGCUAAAGCUGGCACAGUUGGGUAGCCACAAACAUAACGGAUAAGCGCUGAAAGCAUAUCAAGCGCGAAACCGCCCUCUAGAUACUAUCUUUAGUUUUGAAAAACUAAAAAGAUAAGAAAUAGAACAUUUCUUGAAUAGGGUGCAAGUUAAAUUGUUGUGAAACAUUAAGCUUAGCACUACUAAUUUAUCAAUUGGCUGAGUGUU
rnacentral:ncRNA from 1 species